rnacentral:rRNA from 1 species
UGAAUCGAGGGGGUUUGUUGCUGGCCCGCUAGGGCAUGUGCACGGCUCUCCUCAAUUUUCCUUCUCCACCUGUGCACUCUUUGUAGACUUUGGAAGGGGGACCUCUCGAGGCAACUCGGAUGGGGGGAGGGUCGCUGGAUUAGCUUUCGGGCCUCCCUUGCACUUUCCAGGUCUAUGAUUUUCACAUACACUUUUUGAAUGUCAUCGAAUGUCUUUCAUGGCUUGCCGUAAAACGGCAACGCCUUAAACUUAAUACAACUUUCAACAACGGAUCUCUUGGCUCUCGCAUCGAUGAAGAACGCAGCGAAAUGCGAUAAGUAAUGUGAAUUGCAGAAUUCAGUGAAUCAUCGAAUCUUUGAACGCACCUUGCGCUCCUUGGUAUUCCGAGGAGCAUGCCUGUUUGAGUGUCAUUAAAUUCUCAACCCCUUCAGCUUUUGCUGAGUGGGGCUUGGAUGUUGGGGGUUUGCGGGCUUUUCGAGUAGAGGUCGGCUCCCCUUAAAUGCAUUAGCGGGAACGUCUUGCGGACCCGUCACUUGGUGUGAUAAUUAUCUACGCCUCACGACUGGGGAUGCUUUGUUCUGCUUCUAACCGUCCAUUGACUUGGACAGCUUUUUGACAAUUUGACCUCAAA